AACGAACGCUGGCGGCAGGCCUAACACAUGCAAGUCGAGCGAAGCCUUCGGGCUUAGCGGCGGACGGGUGAGUAACGCGUGGGAACGUGCCCUUUGGUACGGAAUAGCCCCGGGAAACUGGGAGUAAUACCGUAUGUGGUCGAGAGACGAAAGAUUUAUCGCCAAAGGAUCGGCCCGCGUUGGAUUAGGUAGGUGGUGGGGUAAUGGCCUACCAAGCCGACGCUACAUAGCUGGUUUGAGAGGAUGAUAAGCCACACUGGGACUGAGACACGGCCCAGACUCCUACGUGAGGCAGCAGUGGGGAAUCUUAGGCAAUGGGGGAAACCCUGAUCUAGCCAUGCGGCGUGAUCGAUGAAGGCCUUAGGGUUGUAAAGAUCUUUCAGUGGGGAAGUUAAUGACUGUACCCACAGAAGAAGCCCCGGCUAACUCCGUGCCAGCCGCCGCCGUAACAC
rnacentral:rRNA from 1 species